CACUCCUACGGGAGGCAGCAGUGGGGAAUUUUAGACAAUGGGCGAAAGCCUGAUCCAGCAAUGCCGCGUGAGUGAAGAAGGCCUUCGGGUUGUAAAGCUCUUUUGUCAGGGAAGAAACGGUGAAAGCUAAUAUCUUUUGCUAAUGACGGUACCUGAAGAAUAAGCACCGGCUAACUACGUGCCAGCAGCCGCGGUAAUACGUAGGGUGCAAGCGUUAAUCGGAAUUACUGGGCGUAAAGCGUGCGCAGGCGGUUUUGUAAGUCUGAUGUGAAAUCCCCGGGCUCAACCUGGGAAUUGCAUUGGAGACUGCAAGGCUAGAAUCUGGCAGAGGGGGGUAGAAUUCCACGUGUAGCAGUGAAAUGCGUAGAUAUGUGGAGGAACACCGAUGGCGAAGGCAGCCCCCUGGGUCAAGAUUGACGCUCAUGCACGAAAGCGUGGGGAGCAAACAGGAUUAGAUACCCUAGUAGUCCCA
rnacentral:rRNA from 1 species